UUUAGAUUUAUAAAUAUAAUAAAAACAUAAGUACUAAUUAAAUAUAGUUAUAAUAUGAUAUUAGUAAGUUUUAGAGUAUAGUAGAAAGUAAAUAAAGUUAAAAAGGUCCAAAAUCCAAUCGUCUCCAACACUUCUCCAACCCAGGCUCUCUGCGAACAUCACCAGGUUCAAGACAGAAGAGAAGGAGAAGAUGUUGUACAUCAUAGGUUUAGGUUUAGGAGACGAAAGCGACAUAACCCUGAGAGGACUCGAGGCCGUCAAGAAAUCUCAGAAAAUAUCGCUUUUCUCGUUGUUGGUGAAUCGGUGAUCCCUUUGGAGCUACAACGCAUAGCGAUCUUGUUGUUAGAGCUAAGAAACGAGUGAAGGAGCCUACUUUCGAGUCUCUUUGCAGAGGAGGGAAGAAACAGUAUGAGCAGCUGCUGGAAGUUGAGCAGAAGCGUGGAGAUUCUGUGUACUCUGAAGAGACAGAGUGUGUGGGUUUUGCGAGGCUUGGCGCUGCGGACCAGAAGAUACUUUCGGGGACGAUUAAGCAAUUGGAGAGUGUUGAUUGUGGAGCACCGUUGCAUUGUCUUGUGAUAGUAGGCAAGACACAUCCCGUGGAAGAAGAGAUGUUGGAUGGAGUUUUACAAAUACGGAACUGCAAAUUAAAAGACCACAUGACUGAAGAAGGCUCAAGGGGGACGCAGGAACGAUCAAGAUGUCUCUCUGAGUAAGAGAUUGAAACUAGGAACAUUUUUAUGAGCUAUUUUUAUAUCUACUUUCAAUAAAGCUCUAGUGAGCCCAAUCUAGCUUGUUAAGGAUUUGCUUUCAGACUGUAUGUUUGUUUUCCCUUCAAACUGAGGAAAAAAUAUUAUUAUCCAACUUUGGUCUUGCUCAACACUA